rnacentral:rRNA from 1 species
CGUGCCUAAUACAUGCAAGUCGAGCGAACAGACGAGGAGCUUGCUCCUCUGACGUUAGCGGCGGACGGGUGAGUAACACGUGGAUAACCUACCUAUAAGACUGGGAUAACUUCGGGAAACCGGAGCUAAUACCGGAUAAUAUAUUGAACCGCAUGGUUCAAUAGUGAAAGACGGUUUUGCUGUCACUUAUAGAUGGAUCCGCGCCGCAUUAGCUAGUUGGUAAGGUAACGGCUUACCAAGGCAACGAUGCGUAGCCGACCUGAGAGGGUGAUCGGCCACACUGGAACUGAGACACGGUCCAGACUCCUACGGGAGGCAGCAGUAGGGAAUCUUCCGCAAUGGGCGAAAGCCUGACGGAGCAACGCCGCGUGAGUGAUGAAGGUCUUCGGAUCGUAGAACUCUGUUAUUAGGGAAGAACAAAUGUGUAAGUAACUAUGCACGUCUUGACGGUACCUAAUCAGAAAGCCACGGCUAACUACGUGCCAGCAGCCGCGGUAAUACGUAGGUGGCAAGCGUUAUCCGGAAUUAUUGGGCGUAAAGCGCGCGUAGGCGGUUUUUUAAGUCUGAUGUGAAAGCCCACGGCUCAACCGUGGAGGGUCAUUGGAAACUGGAAAACUUGAGUGCAGAAGAGGAAAGUGGAAUUCCAUGUGUAGCGGUGAAAUGCGCAGAGAUAUGGAGGAACACCAGUGGCGAAGGCGACUUUCUGGUCUGU